UACAGAGGGUGCAAGCGUUGUUCGGAAUUAUUGGGCGUAAAGCGCGUGUAGGCGGCUUUGCAAGUCGGGUGUGAAAGCCCUCAGCUCAACUGAGGAAGUGCGCCCGAAACUGCAGAGCUUGAGUGCCGGAGAGGGUGGCGGAAUUCCUGGUGUAGCGGUGAAAUGCGUAGAUAUCUGGAGGAACACCGGUGGCGAAGGCGGGCAUCCUGGACCGGUAGUUGACGCUGAGGCGCGAAAGCUAGGGGAGCAAACGGGG
rnacentral:rRNA from 1 species